rnacentral:rRNA from 1 species
UACGAAGGGGGGCUAGCGUUGCUCGGAAUCACUGGGCGUAAAGCGCACGUAGGCGGGUCGUUAAGUCAGGGGUGAAAUCCUGGAGCUCAACUCCAGAACUGCCCUUGAUACUGGCGAUCUCGAGUUCGGGAGAGGUGAGUGGAACUGCGAGUGUAGAGGUGAAAUUCGUAGAUAUUCGCAAGAACACCAGUGGCGAAGGCGCUCACUGGCCCGAUACUGACGCUGAGGUGCGAAAGCGUGGGAGC